rnacentral:SRP_RNA from 1 species
GCCGGGUGUUGUGGCAGUCGCCUGUAGUCCCAGCUAUUUGGGAGGCUGAGGCAAGAGAAUCCCGUAAGCCCAGGAGUUGGAGGUUACUGCGAGCUGUGAUGCCACAUUACUCUACCGAGGGCAACAAAAUGAGUCUCACUUUGUUGCCCUCGGUAGAGUGAUGUGGCGUCACAGCUCACAGCAACCUCCAACUCCUGGGCUUAGGCGAUUCUCUUGCCUCAG